AAACUUACCUGGCGCCGGGUUCAGGGUGAUCAGCAAGGCUCCGACCCCAGGUGGAGGCUCAGCAUUGCACUCCGCUGUGUUGAAGCCUGCGACGGACUCUAAUCGGGUUCGCUCGGGUGCAUAGUUUUUGCCAGUGGGGAGCCUUCGGGCGUCCCUUUC
rnacentral:snRNA from 1 species